rnacentral:misc_RNA from 1 species
AUAGAAUACAAACAUUUUCCUCCAUUACUAGGCAGUAGGCACUUCCUUCUCUCGGUCUCUCCGCCGCAGACGCAGUCGAGCUCUGAACUUCUCCCUCCACCGUGCAUACCACUUCCUUGUUUCUCUUUCGACUUUCCACAAUCGCCACCAAAGUAGCAAUGCUUUCAUUCUCUUACACAAAAUCCCGAUCUUCCCGUUUCCUUCCCUUCCAUUUCCCUCCAUUUCUUCCCUCUUUCUUCCACUCCGUUUCCCUCCCUCUACCUCUCAAUCCCCCCAAAUCCUCCCAUCUUCGUCUCCUUCAUCUCCCUCUCCGCAUCCGCUCCAUCGACGCUGCCCAGCCUUAUGACUACGAGUCCCAGCUUAAAUCGCGGCACCUCAAGUCCCAAUCUCUCAAGAUCGCCAUCAUUGGCUUCGGCAACUUUGGUCAGUUCCUCGCCAAAACCCUCUCUCGCCAAGGCCACACCCUCCUUACUUACUCCCGCACCAACUACAGCGAUGUUGCUAAAAAGCUUGGCGUCACAUUCUACUCCAACCCACAUGACCUCUGCGAGAGCCAUCCUGAAGUUUUGAUCUUAUGCACUUCAAUUCUCUCUACAGAAAAGGUGCUCAAGUCUUUCCCAUUUCAGAGAUUGAAGCGGAGUACCCUUUUUGUUGAUGUGCUAUCUGUGAAAGAGUUUGCUAAGAAUAUUUUGUUGAAGUAUUUGCCUGUUGAAUUUGAUAUACUGUGCACCCAUCCAAUGUUUGGGCCUGAAAGUGGAAAAACUUCGUGGCUUGGUUUGCCUUUUGUGUAUGAUAAAGUUAGAAUCGGUAAUGAGGAGGAAAGGAUGAAUAGGUGUGAGAAGUUUCUUGAUAUUUUUGCUAGAGAAGGAUGCAGGAUGGUAGAAAUGAGCUGUGCUGAGCAUGAUAGGUAUGCGGCAGGGUCACAGUUUGUGACUCACACCAUGGGGAGGGUGUUGGAGAAGUUUGGUUUGGAGUCAUCACCAAUUAAUACCAAAGGUUACGAGACUUUGCUGGAUUUGGUGGAGAAUACUGCUGGGGAUAGUUUUGAGUUGUAUUAUGGGUUGUUUAUGUAUAAUCAGAAUGCUAUGGAGCAGUUGGAGAGGUUGGAUAUGGCAUUUGAGGCAAUUAAAAAGGAAUUGUUUGGGAAGUUGCAUCAAGUUUAUAGGAGGCAGUUGUUUGGGACUGCAGAUGGAUUAGAGGAGCGGCCUAAGAUACAGAAGUUGCUUCAUAAUGGUGCUCCUGUGGAACCUUCUACAGAUACAACGGAACAAGAAAGAUCUUGAGCAUAAAUGAGCUUUUUCUAUGGUACUAUGAGAAUUUCUAUUUAUUUGUUGAUGAAUUCAUUUAGGAAUUUAUUGAUUAAAUUCAUAUCUACUUGUUAGUUUGUUAAACUAGUUGCAGUAGCUCUAAUUCUGAGUGAAAUGGCAAUGCAAUUAUAGGAGUGAACUUGGGCUAUGUUUGUUAGGGCGUAACGGUGUGUAAUGUAUCAAUAGAAUAUUCGAUUACUUAUAUCCCUAAUCAAAGGAAAACUAAGCUAUUUUUAUGGAAAAUGACUUCAUCUUUUUUGAAUCUUACUAAAAUGUGAAACACUUAUU